ensembl:snoRNA small nucleolar SNORD12/SNORD106
UAUGUGGUUAAUGAUGCUAGCCUUUUUUCCCCAUCUUAUCGAUCAUGGUGACAGUUUUCUGAUAAGCCAAAACCAUCUGAAACCACAGC